GAUGAACGCUGGCGGCGUGCCUAAUACAUGCAAGUCGAGCGAACGGAUGAGGAGCUUGCUUUUCUGAUGUUAGCGGCGGACGGGUGAGUAACACGUGGAUAACCUACCUAUAAGACUGGGAUAACUUCGGGAAACCGGAGCUAAUACCGGAUAAUAUUUUGAACCGCAUGGUUCAAAAGUGAAAGACGGUCUUGCUGUCACUUAUAGAUGGAUCCGCGCCGCAUUAGCUAGUUGGUAAGGUAACGGCUUACCAAGGCAACGAUGCAUAGCCGACCUGAGAGGGUGAUCGGCCAAACUGGAACUGGGACAAGGGCCAGACUCCUAAGGGAGGCAGCAGUAGGGAAUCUUCCCGAAAGGGCGAAAGCCUGACGGAGCAACGCCGCGUGAGUGAUGAAGGUCUUCGGAUCGUAAAACUCUGUUAUUAGGGAAGAACAUAUGUGUAAGUAACUGUGCACGUCUUGACGGUACCUAAUCAGAAAGCCACGGCUAACUACGUG
rnacentral:rRNA from 1 species